rnacentral:pre_miRNA from 1 species
AGUGAAUGUUACUUCGGUAAUGGAAUUUUUGAAAUCACAUCACCGGGUAUACAUUCAUCAA